UCCCGGAUAGCUCAAUUGGCAGAGCACUCGACUUUGACUCGAGCAGUGUGGGUUCGAGCCCCACUCCGGGCACCA
rnacentral:tRNA from 1 species